rnacentral:rRNA from 1 species
AGUUUGAUCCUGGCUCAGAAUCAACGCUGGCGGCGUGCCUAACACAUGCAAGUCGAGCGAGAAAAGGGGAGCAAUCCCCUGAGUAAGGCGGCGCACGGGUGAGUAACACGUGGGUAAUCUGCCCUGGAGCGGGGAAUAACACCGGGAAACCGGUGCUAAUACCGCAUACGAUAACGAUGUCUGUGGACGAUGUUAUGAAAGGAGCAAUUCGCUCCAGGAGGAGCCCGCGGCUGAUUAGCUAGUUGGUGAGGUAAUGGCUCACCAAGGCAUCGAUCAGUAGCCGGUCUGAGAGGACGGUCGGCCACACUGGAACUGAGACACGGUCCAGACUCCUACGGGAGGCAGCAGUGGGGAAUUUUUGGCAAUGGGGGAAACCCUGACCAAGCAACGCCGCGUGGAUGAUGAAGUAUCUCGGUACGUAAAAUCCUUUCGACAGGGAAGAAACCCGCAAGGGUUGACGGUACCUGUAGAAAGAGGCCCCGGCUUAACUCCGUGCCAGCAGCCGCGGUAAUACGGGGGGG